AAUGGUAAUAAAAACAAUCUUUAUUCUCUAUUGUCAAUAAAGGCUAUGAUUAUUUAAACCCUUCACAAUUUUGUUCAGCAGUUCAGAAUUAAAUAAAAUACAAGUUCUAACAAAUCAAAUCAACAAAAAAAGUUAUAUAAACUUACAAAAAAAUAAUUUCCUCUCCAGGUCCACAAAAUUCUAGUUCAGAAACGAGACUUUUUACACAAACAGGCAGACAAGCAGCAGUUGUCCAAGCUUCACAGUGUCAAUGAAAAGGAAACCGACAAUAUAACAGCAAUAAGAUAACAGUGAAAAAUGUCUUCUGCAAUAUGGGCAAAAGUGAGACAAAAAGGCAGACAAAGGGGGGUUUAGGAGUGCUGUUGUAAGACUAAGGAGAACUCUGUUCUUUAUUUCUGUAAUUGACCCAGUGAUGACAGUUCCUUUACUCAAUUAAAUGGUUACUCAAGCAAAACUAUUAUCAGGAAAAUUAAAGUACCAAAAGUAAAGGUACUCUCAAGCAGUAAAAUGGUCCUUGUCAAUGUUGUAUUAAUAUUAUUAUUAUUAUAGACAGUGUUUUUGGAUUAACAUCACUGCUGUAAUAUCCUGUAUGCCUUCUACUUAUGUAUAUGUUUAAGGUUGAGCUAAUGUUAGGUAUUUUAUUUACUGAUGGGCAGUUUAAUCUACAAAGCAUCAUAUUCAGUAAGACCAUCAUGUAUGUAACGUCACUCUCCUGUGACAACCUCAUAAGGCGGCUCAGAAAGACAGACGUGUUUGCAGCUUUGAGACGCUGCACUUUCCAGCUGACAAUCAAAAAGUGUUAUUUUUUAUUAACAUAUUUCUAGUAGCCUAAGAACUAGAAGAACUGUCCCCACCCUUUAAGGAAAACUUAAUCCUUUAGUUUGUUACAGAAUAUUCAAAAGGAAAACACAUUUUUCGCUGAAUAGAAAGGGUAUGAAAAAUUGUAAUCUAAAGUCAAAUGCAGUAGACUAAGAAGUACAGUAUUUGUCUCUGUGAUAUAAAAGAAUGGAAGUAGAAAGCUGCACAAAAUGGAAAUACUCAAGUACAUGUACUUUAUUUACUCAAUUUUAUACCUAGGUGCUUGAGUAAAUGUGCUCACAUUCCAUUACCACAUGGAACUUGGUAGCUCUUAUAACCUGAGAAUUUAAUCCUUCAUCAGCAAUCCUAUUCAGUAUUUGUAUGGUUUUUGCAACUAAAAAUGUACAGGAGCAUAUUGAAAAAACAUCAACAUUUUAGAAAUAAGUUUCGCUUUUUACUGUUUGGGAUGAAAAAUUAAAUUGCACUCUUUCUGUAAAAGUUUGACCAAUAAAAGUUAGACAUUUUUUUGUCUGAAUUUCUCCAAGGAGCAAAAUUACUUGAAGGACUUUGGACUAGACAGACUCUCCACAUGUGGUCAAGCAUUUUAUAAAAACAUAGAACAUGUUGUAAUCCCAGUCAAGUUCUCAGCAAUUGAAAAAAAAAAAGACAACUCACUGAUUUUACAGAAAACAUAAAAGUAAGUGAGUGGACUAUUAAGUGGAAAUUCAAUGUAUAAAUGACAUUUCGCUUAAAUAGUUGAGUAAGAAUAAGCCGGAUGCACAAUGUCCCAUAGAUAUUCUGUCUUUAACAGAGGCUGACGUAUACUUUUAGUAACUGGAAGCCAAGUUGUCUUUGUGACUGCACCUAAAGAGAAACACUACAUUUAAAAGAAGAAUUGCACAUGAAACCACAAGAUUUGACACUGAAGAACUUCAACCUUAGCUUGAAAGAAUGAAAUGUUGAGUAGAAUUUUCAAUAAUCCAAUUUUAGUUCCCUUCCACAUGCCUGGCUAGAUUAAAGAGAGACGUUUGAUAGAGCAGAACACAGGCAUUGUAUUGUAAUCACCUACCACUCAUUUCAGAUAGGCAAAUAACAGGAGUCGAGGAUGAUAACUCCCUAACAUAUGAUGCAGGACUUCUGGAAUGGACUAUGAUGAUAACCAACGCAUUAUGGAAAUUACAGCGAUGUCAACGACAGCGUAGUGAAUGUGUGUGGGUGCACAGUCAAAUUCACCACUUCUACAUAGAGCAAAAUUCCUGGAUUACAAAAUAAAUCUUCUGUCCUGUAUAAAAACACAAGGCAACAAAACCCCCGCCACAAACUUCUACUAACUUUGACUUAUUUCUGAUUCCUAAGUUUAGCUAACUUUUGCACUCUCCCCAAUAAAUUCCAGUUUAGUGCAGAUUUGACAACUCAAACACGUUUUAGCACAACUACUGAACAGUUCACACUAACUGCCUUGCAGUAGCCGUGAAGCACAGCAGAUUGUUCCUGCUUCAAGGAAAUGUCCUUCAUAAUGUCACAGCAAUUCUCAGAAACCCACUCCCACAUUCUGAUCAAAAUAGUCCAUUUUGUUCAGCAGACCAGAAACGGUAUUCACAAAAUGAGAUCACAAACCGAGUAGGUCGAGUAACUGUAGACAUGUACCAUGGCUCACCAUCUUACCUCCACUGUGAGAAACACCUGACCGUCAAGGGAAAAUGGAGUGUGCAGAACUGAUAAGGCAUGCGUCAAAAUACUACGAAUACUAAGACUGCUGAUCUACGAAUGGUUUCUGUUCCUUCUGAAAUAAUUUGAAACUAUUUUCCUGCCUUACUGAUCCUAAAUGUAGAAUGCUGAACGCAUACAACCUUGUGACUCUUUGUGAUCUGACAUACAGCUCAGAAUGAAAGAAUUACUGCCACUAAAAUGCCAAAGCAACUCAUCAGUGACUCUUCAAAAAUGAUAGGACAUUAAUCAAAAAUGCCCAGUUACAGCAACAAUAUAUGUUUAAAAUCUGACAGCAUAUAAUCUUAGAGGGUGAAUUUGUCCCUGGUUAUGUGGCAUGUCUAUAAAGCCAGCUUUACUUUUUACAGCAUAUAUGGCAAUGUGGAAUUCAAAGCAAGUGUCUUGUUAUACUUUUUUCAUAUAACUGGACACAACUGGACCUAGCAAUAUCACAAAAAAUUACAGCAUUUCUGUGGUCAUGAAAAUUCUCAAAUGAACAGAUUGAUUUGAAGUGGAAAACAUUUCUAUGAGAGACUUUGUCGAGGAGAACUUAAGGCUUUACUUAAGAUGCUGUCACACCUCUGAGAGAGAGGAAGCUUGUGCUGCAGAGCUCUCUGUCUCUGAUGAAGCAAUUCUGUCACUGGAAUCACUCAGAUUGUUUAAGCUAGUUGUAGUAUUUCACACCUCAUAACCCUAUAAGGGUCUGCACGUAAUUCAACACACAGCCAUUACGCAGUGAGCAUAGCACAUGUCGACACAUCUGUAAAAUCUACUGAUUUUCCAGACAUGAUGAGGUUCAAUUUUUCAAUCCAACUGGUGUCAGUUCUUGAGUAUCUUGAGCUGUGCUUGCAAUUUUCUACUAGUACUAAAUAGUAGGUGAUAAGAAAAUCUCAAUUCCAAUUGAACAGACAAAUUAAAUACAUUCCAGUGAGCAAAUGCUGAAAUUAAGCACCCAGCAAGUCUUUCAUAUCAAAAAAUUUCCAUUUGACAUUUGAUUUGGGUUCAGUGUUGUUUUCAGGUUGCAUUAACCUGUAUGUUGUUGUUGUGUAAGAUAGUUCUUGUUUUCCAAUGUGGUAUGAAGGAUCUGUCUCCAAGUCCAGCCCUGCAAGAAAAAUAAAUUCUAUUAGAGACACCAAAUAUUCUGAAUGUCCAACAGUAAAAGCUGCUACAGAUACAAGGACAGAGAACUGCUUUAUCAGUUGUUCAUUUCAUGGCAGCAUAUUAA
ensembl:lncRNA